rnacentral:tRNA from 1 species
GGGGGUAUAGCGCAGUGGUAGAGUGUUCGACUGCAGAUCGAGAGGUCCUCGGUUCAAACCCAGGUGUCCUCU